rnacentral:rRNA from 1 species
GACGAACGCUGGCGGCGUGCUUAACACAUGCAAGUCGAACGGAAAGGCCCUGCUUUUGUGGGGUGCUCGAGUGGCGAACGGGUGAGUAACACGUGAGUAACCUGCCCUUGACGUUGGGAUAACUUCAGGAAACUGGGGCUAAUACCGGAUAGGAGCUCCUGCUGCAUGGUGGGGGUCGGAAAGUUUCGGCGGUUGGGGAUGGACUCGCGGCUUAUCAGCUUGUUGGUGGGGUAGUGGCUUACCAAGGCUUCGACGGGUAGCCGGCCUGAGAGGGUGACCGGCCACAUUGGGACUGAGAUACGGCCCAGACUCCUACGGGAGGCAGCAGUGGGGAAUAUUGCACAAUGAGCGGGAGCCUGAUGCAGCAGCGCCGCGUGCGGGAUGACGGCCUUCGGGUUGUAAACCGCUUUCGCCUGUGACGAAGCGUGAGUGACGGUAAUGGGUAAAGAAGCACCGGCUAACUACGUG